GACGUAGGGCGCGAGCGUUGUCCGGAUUUAUUGGGCGUAAAGAGCUCGUAGGCGGCUUGUCGCGUCGACUGUGAAAACCCGCGGCUCAACCGCGGGCCUGCAGCCGAUACGGGCAGGCUAGAGUUCGGUAGGGGAGACUGGAAUUCCUGGUGUAGCGGUGAAAUGCGCAGAGUAUCAAGGAGGAACACCGAUGGCGAAGGCAGG
rnacentral:rRNA from 1 species